rnacentral:rRNA from 2 species
UAUACGGUGAAACUGCGAAUGGCUCAUUAAAUCAGUUAUCGUUUAUUUGAUAGUACCUUACUACUUGGAUAACCGUGGUAAUUCUAGAGCUAAUACAUGCUAAAAACCCCGACUUCGGAAGGGGUGUAUUUAUUAGAUAAAAAACCAAUGCCCUUCGGGGCUCCUUGGUGAUUCAUAAUAACUUAACGAAUCGCAUAGCCUUGUGCUGGCGAUGGUUCAUUCAAAUUUCUGCCCUAUCAACUUUCGAUUGUAUGGUAUUGGCUUACAAUGGUUUCAACGGGUAACGGGGAAUUAGGGUUCUAUUCCGGAGAGGGAGCCUGAGAAACGGCUACCACAUCCAAGGAAGGCAGCAGGCGCGCAAAUUACCCAAUCCCGACACGGGGAGGUAGUGACAAUAAAUACUGAUACAGGGCUCUUUUGGGUCUUGUAAUUGGAAUGAGUACAAUUUAAAUCCCUUAACGAGGAACAAUUGGAGGGCAAGUCUGGUGCCAGCAGCCGCGGUAAUUCCAGCUCCAAUAGCGUAUAUUAAAGUUGUUGCAGUUAAAAAGCUCGUAGUUGAACCUUGGGUUUGGUUGGUCGGUCCGCCUCACCGCGUGCACUGAUCCGACCGAAUCUUUCCUUCUGGGGAACCGUAUGCCCUUCACUGGGUGUGCUGGGGAACCAGGACUUUUACUUUGAAAAAAUUAGAGUGUUCAAAGCAGGCCUAUGCUCGAAUACAUUAGCAUGGAAUAAUAGAAUAGGACGUGUGGUUCUAUUUUGUUGGUUUCUAGGACCGCCGUAAUGAUUAAUAGGGAUAGUCGGGGGCAUCAGUAUUCAAUUGUCAGAGGUGAAAUUCUUGGAUUUAUUGAAGACUAACUACUGCGAAAGCAUUUGCCAAGGAUGUUUUCAUUAAUCAGUGAACGAAAGUUAGGGGAUCGAAGACGAUCAGAUACCGUCGUAGUCUUAACCAUAAACUAUGCCGACUAGGGAUCGGGCGGUGUUAUCUUUUUGACCCGCUCGGCACCUUACGAGAAAUCAAAGUC